rnacentral:rRNA from 1 species
UACGGAGGGUGCAAGCGUUGUUCGGAAUCACUGGGCGUAAAGCGCGUGUAGGCGGCUAUCUAAGUCUGAUGUGAAAGCCCUGGGCUCAACUCAGGAAGUGCAUUGGAUACUGGAUAGCUGGAGUACCGGAGAGGAGAGUGGAAUUCCUGGUGUAGCGGUGAAAUGCGCAGAUAUCAGGAAGAACACCCGUGGCGAAAGCGGCUCUCUGGAACGGUACUGACGCUGAGACGCGAAAGCGUGGGGAGCGAACAGG